AAUGACUUAUGAUUGACGUUCAUCAUCGUGAUAAACAAUAUAACCAUUGAAAUCGAACACUCCAAACAGUAUGAACAGGAAAAGUUAACAAAAGUGAAAGAACGUUUUGCAAUAUAGAGAGACAGAAAACAAACCACAAUGUCGCAUAUAGAAGGAUGUUUAAUGAGAAGUUUUUAAUGCUCUUAAUGAAAAAUUGAUAUCAAGCAUUGUUAAAGUUUGAACACUUUUAUUUUGUGAAUCGAUAUUUUAUGGAAAUUCAUUUUUAACAACAUCAAUACAAGAAGGAGAAGCUUUAUUUCAGGAAGUGACGUAAUGAAAGAAAUGACAAAAUUAUGUACCAUGGUUCUGUUUGGAUUUCUUGUUGUACUUUGUAACAUCACCUGGUCACGUGCUCAUUGAAAUGUCAUCUGUGGUCAUAAUAGCAAGAUAUGAACUUUUCCUUUUUUAAAGUGAUGAAGCUCCUUAUUCACUUUGUUCACUUUUUAUAAAACUGAAACAAGAAAAUUAUCAUCUCAUAUGGACGUUUUGAUGUGAACAUAACGGAGAAGUAAUCGUGAGAAUGAAUGAAAAAAAUUAGAUUUUAUUACAUUGUGGCUAUUGGGAUAUGGUAAAGUGAUCUUUAGAGUUGCAUCAUUAAUUAAAGCUGCUUCUUCAUCCAAACACACUGCCAUCGUAAAAAUCAUAGCAGUUAGUCACCUUUGCGCAUGCUCUGAAAUAUUUAUGUACUUGGAUGAUACUAUAACCUGUGUGAAAUGAAUUAACAGCAACAUGUCAUGAAAAUUUAAAGUUAAUCUCACCUAUGGAUGGUUGUAGAAUAAAAGUGAUCAGUUUAGUUCAUGUAAAUGGUCAACAAAUCAUUCACAACAAAAGUAACUUCAACAUGUAAGAACUACAUCAAGUUAUGAGAAUGAAAAAUAUGGAAAAAUUUCAACGUCUUUCUUUUUCAAGAUGUCAUAUUUCUAAAUCCUUUGUGCUUUAUUUUUUAUGUAGUGAACAAUUUUAGAUCAUUAAAUUUUAUUUCAUAUUGUUGUGUACAUUGUUACGUAUAGUAUAGUUACGUUCUGCUUUUUAAAUUUCAAAUGCUCUGAAUAAAUGAAUCCCACAUAUCUCAACUCCAAUUUUUGUAUUAAUAAUAAUUUGCCAACUGCCAGGUGAAGAAUGAGAUUACUCGUGCUUUAAAAAAGGAGUUAUCUUAUCUUAAGGUAAAAAAUAGCAAUUUUCAAAAUUAGCAUUGAAUAGUUGUAUAUAAUAACGUUCACUCACUAUUCAACGACAUUAUUUGUUGGUAACUGUCAUUUUGUAAAGCAAGUUGAAAAGUACCCGUAUUGUAUCGAAAUAGAACAAUUGCAGUUAGUAUUUUAAAGACUCGUUGGGAUUCAUUCAUUUAGCACUUAUAAUAAAUAAUGAGGAACUUUCUUUUUGCCCUGUGCUUUGUUGAACUCUGUUUUUUCAAACGUGUUAACAUAGUUUUAUCUUAUUAGUAUUUUAAUGUAGGAGAUAAUCGUAUUAAUAUGUUUUCUGCAAAAUUGUUACAAUAUAUGUGUGUUGAUUAUAUUGUGAAA